AUUGAACGCUGGCGGAAUGCUUUACACAUGCAAGUCGAACGGCAGCACGGACUUCGGUCUGGUGGCGAGUGGCGAACGGGUGAGUAAUACAUCGGAACGUGCCCAAUCGUGGGGGAUAACGUAGCGAAAGCUACGCUAAUACCGCAUACGAUCUAAGGAUGAAAGCGGGGGAUCGCAAGACCUCGCGCGAUUGGAGCGGCCGAUGGCAGAUUAGGUAGGUGGUAGGGUAAAGGCCUACUAAGCCGACGAUCUGUAGCUGGUCUGAGAGGAUGAUCAGCCACACUGGGACUGAGACACGGCCCAGACUCCCACGGGAGGCAGCAGUGGGUAAUUUUGGACAAUGGACGCAAGUCUGAUCCAGCCAUUCCGCGUGCAGGAUGAAGGCCCUCGGGUUGUAAACUGCUUUUGUACAGAACGAAAAGGCUCUGGUUAAUACCUAGGGCUCAUGACGGUACUGUAAGAAUAAGCACCGGCUAACUACGUGCCAGCCGCCGCGGUAA
rnacentral:rRNA from 1 species